UCUGCAAUGGAACUGAAAUUGACUGGAAAAUUAACCCAUAUAUAGCACAAUAGGAGAAUGACAAUGUGUUCUACGAGACAAUACACGUGCGUUAUUUUGAGACAAGACCCUUAAUGAUGACCACAAUGUCUCCUUAUUGCACCUACGAAUACAAUGUGACUGAAUAUGUAGAGUUGUUUCAUUGUAAAAGAGACGAUAAAGCUAUACCAAAGUCGAUGAUGUGUAUAUAUGCCGUAGAUUCCACCGGUUACAUGACUGGAUGCAGAUCUGGUGAUCAUUUAGAACAAUGCGAAAAUUUCACUUGUCCAGCAAAUACAGUCAAAUGUCCAGGAAGUUAUUGUAUUGAACCACGAUUUAUUUGUGACGGACAUAUUGAAUGUCCUGGAGGAGAAGAUGAACAAGACUGUA